AUUAAACGCUGGCGGCAUGCCUUACACAUGCAAGUCGAACGGCAGCACGGGGGCAACCCUGGUGGCGAGUGGCGGACGGGUGAGUAAAGCAUCGGAACGUAUCCUGGAGUGGGGGGAUAACGUAGCGAAAGUUACGCUAAUACCGCAUAUUCUGUGAGCAGGAAAGCAGGGGAUCGCAAGACCUUGCGCUCUGGGAGCGGCCGAUGUCGGAUUAGCUAGUUGGUGGGGUAAAGGCCUACCAAGGCGACGAUCCGUAGCGGGUCUGAGAGGAUGAUCCGCCACACUGGGACUGAGACACGGCCCAGACUCCUACGGGAGGCAGCAGUGGGGAAUUUUGGACAAUGGGCGCAAGCCUGAUCCAGCCAUGCCGCGUGAGUGAAGAAGGCCUCGGUUGUAAG
rnacentral:rRNA from 1 species